rnacentral:rRNA from 1 species
UACGUAGGGGGCAAGCGUUAUCCGGAUUUACUGGGUGUAAAGGGAGCGUAGGUGGUGUGGUAAGUCAGAUGUGAAAGCCCGGGGCUCAACUCCGGGAUUGCAUUUGAAACUAUCAUGCUUGAGUGCAGGAGAGGUAAGUGGAAUUCCUAGUGUAGCGGUGAAAUGCGUAGAUAUUAGGAGGAACACCAGUGGCGAAGGCGGCUUACUGGACUGUAACUGACACUGAGGCUCGAAAGCGUGGGGAGCAAACAGG